AAGUCCCGUAACGAGCGCAACCCUCGUCUUUAGUUGCCACCAUUUAGUUGGGCACUCUAAAGAAACUGCCGGUGAUAAGCCGGAGGAAGGUGGGGAUGACGUCAAGUCCUCAUGGCCCUUACGCGCUGGGCUACACACGUGCUACAAUGGCGGUGACAGAGGGCUGCAAACCCGCGAGGGUGAGCUAAUCUCCAAAAGCCGUCUCAGUUCGGAUUGUUCUCUGCAACUCGAGAGCAUGAAGGCGGAAUCGCUAGUAAUCGCGGAUCAGCACGCCGCGGUGAAUACGUUCCCAGGCCUUGUACACACCGCCCGU
rnacentral:rRNA from 1 species